AUUAAAGCUGCCUGGGGGAUCUUGUUAAAAUGCAGGUCCUAAUUCAGUAGGUCUGGGGUUGACUGAGAUUCUGCAGUUCCAACAAGCUCUUAGGAAUUGCCCCU
rnacentral:miRNA from 1 species